rnacentral:rRNA from 1 species
GACGAACGCUGGCGGCGUGCUUAACACAUGCAAGUCGAACGGAAAGGCCUCUUUCGGGGGGUACUCGAGUGGCGAACGGGUGAGUAACACGUGAGUAACCUGCCCUUGACUUUGGGAUAACUUCAGGAAACUGGGGCUAAUACCGGAUAGGAGCUCCUGCUGCAUGGUGGGGGUUGGAAAGUUUCGGCGGUUGGGGAUGGACUCGCGGCUUACCAGCUUGUUGGUGGGGUAGUGGCUUACCAAGGCUUUGACGGGUAGCCGGCCUGAGAGGGUGACCGGCCACAUUGGGACUGAGAUACGGCCCAGACUCCUACGGGAGGCAGCAGUGGGGAAUAUUGCACAAUGGGUGGAAGCCUGAUGCAGCAACGCCGUGGGCGGGAUGACGGCCUUCGGGUUGUAAACCGCUUUCGCUCAUGACGAAGCUUUGUGUGACGGUAGUGGGUAAAGAAGCACCGGCUAACUACGUG